UACGAAGGGGGCUAGCGUUGCUCGGAAUCACUGGGCGUAAAGGGUGCGUAGGCGGGCUUUUAAGUCUGUUGUGAAAUCCCCGGGCUCAACCUGGGAAUGGCGAUGGAUACUGGGCAGCUAGAGUGUGUCAGAGGAUGGUGGAAUUCCCGGUGUAGCGGUGAAAUGCGUAGAGAUCGGGAGGAACAUCAGUGGCGAAGGCGGCCAUCUGGGACAACACUGACGCUGAAGCACGAAAGCGUGGGGAGCAAACAGG
rnacentral:rRNA from 1 species